rnacentral:tRNA from 1 species
CACCAGGAAGCUAAAAGGGAGUAGCAUUAGCCUUUUAAGCUAAAAAUUGGUGGCUCCCGCCCACCCCUGAUGA